ACAGCAAAUUUUUCAGGAACAACUUGUAAUAGGAGUUCUGAUGAGCUCAAAGUAGACUUACAAGUAUGCUAAUGCUAGUCAAUCUUUCAGUGAACUCCAUGCUCUAAAAUUUAGCCCAUUGCUGUACUUAUUUUGAGUCGGUGAUUGGGAUCUAUGCGUAUCUUAGUAUAUGGUCUGUGUCUCUGUUCUGAUUAGGCAAAAAUAUAUAUAUUUGUAAACCUCAUUUG
rnacentral:misc_RNA from 1 species